CUUCUAAUCUACUGGAUAGAUUGAAAUACUGGCAAAAUAAGUUCCUGGGAGUAACGAAGCAUUUUACUGGAUUAUAGCAAAUCACUCUGCCCACACCCGAGGCUGCAGCCAGAAACCACGGAAACUGACAGACGCCAGCAAAAAGAAAGAAAAAGUUAAGAAAUUUCUUACCAGUAAUCCUCCUUGGGUUUCUGCCUUAGGACUAGUCAGGUGGAAUCCUACUCUGUCGCCAGGCUGGAGUAUAGUGGUGUGAUCUUGGCUCACUGCAACCUCUGCCUCCCAGGUUCAAGCGAUUCCCCUGCCUCAGGCUCUGGAGUAGCAGCAGCUGGGACUACAGGUGCGUGCCACAGUGCCUGGCUAAUUUUUUGUAUUUUAGUAGAGACGGGGUUUCACCAUGUUGGCCAGGAUGGUCUCGAUCUCCUGACCUCGUGAUUCACCCACCUCGGCCUCCCAAAAUGCUGGGAUUACAGGCAUGAGCCACUGUGCCCAGCCCAACUUUGCUUUCUUGAGCUAUUGUAGCAGGACAAGCCGCAGACAAAACCCCUCAGACACCAAGUUGUAGAAGGAAGGGCUUUAUUCAGCUGGGAGCAUCGGCAAGCUAC
rnacentral:lncRNA from 1 species